GCGUAGGGUUCGACCUCUCCUCGCUUCUCUCCCGCAUCUCUCUCUCUCUCUCUCUCUUUCUCUCUCUCUCUCUCUCUCUCUCUCUCGCAGUCGUCGCCGCCAGCCAUCCUCCCCAUCGCCCCCUUCGCCCCGUCAUCUCCCACUCGCUCCACCCCUCUCGCAGUCGUCGCCGCUAGCCAUCUCGUAGGAUGGAGACGCUGGCCGCCUCCAUCUCCUCUCUGUCGCCGUCUGAGCCAGAUGCGGCCGCAGUCUGCCGGCGCCGCGGGCGGAGGAGACGCGCCUAGGUGGAGCCUUCUUCAUCACACGCGGCAGCCGGCGUAGCUCUGCCUCCCACACCCCCAUCAUCUCCGCCACACCCCGUCGCCGUACACGGAGGGGGAGGAGUGGUGGCCGGCAGAGAUCUGCCUCCUUCAUCCAGGUCACGAUGGAGAAGGAGCGGUUGGAGGUGGUGGCUGGUAGAUCUGGCCGCAGCCGACUCCGACGCUGGCUGGCCCAUCGCUCAAGCAACCUUGUAGGAGGAGUCCGGACCACCGCAGCACUGCACAAGAUGGUAUUCCACGAGGACGUCAAGCCGAGAUGGGCUGCUGCUCCCUCCACGGCGAGUCAGAGACUGACACCACGAGCUCGAGCACUAUGGCUGCCACUCCCUCCAUGGCCGAAUCAGAGUCAAAAAAGGGGGCUAGGGACUCUUGGCUUAUCUCUCCUUUCUUUGCCUUGCUGCUGACUUUUAUGGCACCUCCAACCAGCAGCACUACGAGUUGCAAAGUAGCAGUGUGCCUCCAGUUAGCAUUGGACAGAUGGGCGAAGAUGUCGAGACCGCGCUCUGUGUCCUAGGCAUCGUUACUGCCGCCUCUUCUCCACCCCCUAUGAUCAACUAGAGGAAGAAAUUGAUCCCUGAGGGAGACUGGCAAAUCUUGGAAUUCAGGCUGCAAACCUUCAAGUAGGUUUGGAUUAUGAACCUUCUGUUUCCAAUCUGGGUGCCUAGCUAGGACCACCAUGCUCGAAAAGGUGAACGACAGCAAUUUUCCGAUGCAGUCGGCCGACGGAGGAGCCGCUGGCGCCUAUGGUGGAGGUGAAUGCGGACGGCAAAAUCUGUGCGGCGGAAGGGGCGGCGGAUGCAGGCCGAGAAGGGUCGCCGAGAGAGUCGGAGCACUCCAUUGGACAGAUCGAACCUAGAGCUCCGAAAACGAAGAAUGAGGGUAGGUGCUGCUCCGCCGGAAAAGACGCCAUGUCCUAAUCGGACUACUGCUCUGGAGAAGACUAUUUGUGGUUUUGCCGACAAUGCUGGGGACAAUGUCAUAGUGGCAACUUUGGGUGCAAGCUUUGAUUCUCUUGAUGAAGCCUACUACUUCUACACUUUUAUUCAUGGGAGAAAGGAUUUGACAUUAGAUACGUCAAGAGUAGGCUAAAUGUGGAGAGGACAAAAUGCAUGCAGGAGAUUGUUUGUGGUUGUGCGGGGGAAGGCGGGGGUUGAGAACAGAGGAUCGUGCCAUUGUGAAUGCCAUGCUCUCAUCAGGUUGUUGCGGUCCAAGGCCAAUGACUGGUACAUAGCAGAAUACCGUGAGGAGCACAACCGCUUGGACUGGAAGACAUGAUUGCCAAAAAUGGUGGUGUCAUGUACCAAAUUCAGACUGAAGGGGCACUUGUUGCAACGAUGAUGUUAAUUCAGCAAAUGACUCUGGGAACUGAAUUGCAGGACCAUUGCCACCGGCAAAUUAAAAGGAAGGAGAUGGGCAGGUCUACGACCAACAGAGAGAAAGUGACUUACUAUGGCCUGAGCAAGAAGACCACAUUCUGCACCAUUUUCCGGCGACAGGGGCACGAAGGGACUAUGUGCCCAGACUGCGGAGAUGUACCAAAGCAGGCUAGGAGACGUGCUCGAUGCAAGAACUGUGGAGUCAAAGUUCACUGCCGGAACAAUUGCAACAAUGCAGCGGAGCUACGUCUGAAAGUGAGUUGACUGAAAAAUUAGGGAUGUACCUAAGACAGUACUUGCAUGGUUAGGAUAAAUGGUGUAUGCGCAUGACAAUUUCCAGAUAGUGUGGACUGAUUUGUUGUAGCCUGUCUCAUGGUGAAGAUUUAAAAUUUCCGUUGCAUCUGUUGAUCCACAACUGUGUCUUGAUGUAUUACUUGAUACUUCCUGUGUGGAACUUGUCUGAAUAAAUAGUUUGGUGGCUGAAUAACUGUACUGAAUCUGUUGUGAGUUGGGCUGGGUUUUGAUCUUGAGAAUUAUGAUGUGGGUGGGCG
rnacentral:rRNA from 1 species